GGGGGUUAUCCCAACACUCUAAUGGUCUUUCAUUCUCACUUAGAGAGGAUUGACGCAUGUGGUGAGAGUAGUGGGAGGUCCUAGGGUAGGCGCUAUCACUAGAGGCCUAUCGCGCAGUAACGGACUAACCUUGUGUGUGGUUAGGUGAAAUCCCUCGACAAUGGCUUUGCAAAGCAGUAGAGGUCACCACAAGUGCACAACCCGCC
rnacentral:lncRNA from 1 species